UACGUAGGUGGCAAGCGUUGUUCGGAUUUACUGGGCGUAAAGAGCGCGCAGGCGGUCGGGUAAGUCGAAUGUGAAAGCCCCCGGCUCAACUGGGGAGGGUCAUUCGAUACUGUCCGACUCGAAGGCAGGAGAGGGAAGCGGAAUUCCCGGUGUAGUGGUGAAAUGCGUAGAUAUCGGGAGGAACACCAGUGGCGAAGGCGGCUUUCUGGCCUGUUCUUGACGCUGAGGCGCGAAAGCUAGGGGAGCGAACGGG
rnacentral:rRNA from 1 species